rnacentral:rRNA from 1 species
AUUGAACGCUGGCGGCAUGCCUUACACAUGCAAGUCGAACGGCAGCACGGGAGCUUGCUCCUGGUGGCGAGUGGCGAACGGGUGAGUAAUACAUCGGAACGUACCCAGGAGUGGGGGAUAACGUAGCGAAAGUUACGCUAAUACCGCAUAUUCUGUGAGCAGGAAAGCGGGGGAUCGCAAGACCUCGCGCUCUUGGAGCGGCCGAUGUCGGAUUAGCUAGUUGGUGAGGUAAAAGCUCACCAAGGCGACGAUCCGUAGCAGGUCUGAGAGGAUGAUCGGCCACACUGGGACGGAGACACGGCCCAGACUCCUACGGGAGGCAGAAGUGGGGAAUUUUGGACAAGGGGGGCAACCCUGAUCCAGCCAUGCCGGGUGAGUGAAGAAGGCCUUCGGGUUGUAAAGCUCUUUCGGCGGGGAAGAAAUGGCAACGGCUAAUAUCCGUUGUUGAUGACGGUACCCGCAUAAGAAGCACCGGCUAACUACGUGCCAGCCGCCGCAGUAAGAC